AGUAGCUGGUACAGAGUGCUUAGAUCUGUGGCCCUCAGCUGAUGAGAAAGCUGAAACUAAAGUUAACAAAGAAUGUGUGAGCUUGUCUUGGAUUACAUUCCUGGUGACCUGAUUAGGAACACUCAUCAGAUAACUCAUGAUGGAAUACUAACUACAUUAAGUGUCCUCUCAUCAGCACUGACAAGAAUUGUACAUGCAGUAAUAAGUUUGUGUCCUGAGGAGUGAGCUUUGAGGGCUUGCCCACAAUGAAAGAUCGCUUGGAGGAACUGCGACAGAAGGCUCAGGAGUUCUCUGGGACAGCAAAUGAGGAUAUUGAGCCUUACUCAGUAGAUGAUGAUAGCAAUGACUUUAUGGUGAUCGGGAUCAUAACGCCACAGGGUGUUGUGCUGGAGGAGGAGCCGGUCAUUAAGAAUUUGUUGUCUGAGGCUCAGCAAAUCCGAGACGAUGUCACAGCACUGGAGUCAGAGGUCUUAAAGUUUACCCAGCAACAAAAGACCCUGGUAGCAACCAUGCGUCGAUUCAGUGUGAUGAAGAAAGAGAACAGCAUAGCACGAGACAUCAAGCUGAAGGCCGAAAACCUCAACCGUCGUUUAGAUGCCUUUUUAAAACAGGUUCAACAAACUGAGGCUCAGCAUCAACCUACUGCUGCUACAGCGAGAAUACAACGCUCCCAGUAUGCAGCGCUGAACCUCAAAUUCCAGCAGAUAAUGCGGCAAUAUAAUGAAGGUCUGCUGACCAAGCAGGAGCGCUGUAAGGACUUCAUUAUCCGGCAGCUGGAGGUACUGGGAAAGGAUGUGGCGGAGGAGGAGGUGAAUGAGAUGUUUGCCACAGGAAAAUGGGAGGUCUUCAAUGAGAAUCUGCUGAAUGAUGCCAAAAUCACACGGUCACAGCUAUCUGAGAUCGAACAGCGACACAAGGAGUUGUUGAGCCUAGAGAACAAUAUGAAAGAAGUGAGGGAUCUCUUUGUGGACAUUUUCAUGCUGGUGGAGGAACAAGGGUACCACAUCGAACACAUCCAGACCAACGUAGAGCGAACUCAGGAUUAUGUGUUAGCAUCUAAUGAAAAAUUCAGACUGGCCACCAGGUAUAAGAAGAAGAAUCCGCUCCGACAGCUGUGCUGCUGCUGCUGCCCUCCCUGGAGAUGCUGCUGUUAACACAUAUGCAUUUUUAUCUCAAUGGUAACUCCAAAUAGUGUUUAAUUUUAAAGGUCUCACAUACCUGUUGGGAGUAAGCAACCAUGAAAACAAGUACCAUUAAAGUGAAGGUUAUGGUACUGCAGUUUUUGAACAGAGUGACAGUAAAGACAGAUUCACUAGAGCACAGAAAACAAUUAGGAGCCAGAAUUGGUAUUUGAGGCACUUGUUUCUUUCAAGAGGAUGUGAAGCAGCCGCUACUGGAAGAGACAGUUGCUCAGUGACACUACUGCUUAUUGGAGACCUUCCCUGUCAUCUGACAGAGGUCACAAACAAGGUGAGACCAUUGCCUUUGUCACUGCCACUGCAAGAUCAGCAAAACUGAUAUUUCACCUUUUUUUCCAAAUGGGCAUUUCUUCUUAUUCUUUGAGCACUUUUUAAGAAAAAUAUACAGUAGUAUAUGCACAUUAAGAUGAAUCUAAAGUAUUAUUAUUCUACUUUAUUUUGUAACAUUAACUGAAAUGCAAUGUAAUUGAGAAAUAAUAGCUUUCUGAGAGAUUUUGAGACAUUAUAUAUUCAUUUAAUCUUUGGCCCACAUGCAGAUAGAAAAAGAACAUGUUUUACAAUUUGUUAUUAGUAUCAUUUGCAUUUGAAAGUUUCAUCAUUUUCAGUGAGCAUUUUUUAAAUUAAUUUAUUCAGUUUCAUAGAGGCAGAGAUCCAAGUAAGACUAAAUAAUGAGCCCUGGCCAAAAUAUUUCUAUCAUGCUGGCAAAACUGCAGAAUAACACUGAAUAUCACUUUUUUUUUAAUAAAAUGGGCAAUUCAAAUUCUCACAUUUCAAGAAAUAUUCCAAUUCUCUUGAUGUUUGGUGUUUUAGAGUACAGUGUCAAUUUAUGAUUCUGUUAUAGUGUUCAGAUAAAAACCUCUGGUAUCCAUAUCACCAUGUUGCACAAAAGAGGCAGCUCUAGUACAGAAGGACUAAAGGACCAAGAAUAUGCUUUAUACAGUAACUGACAGUUUUCUGUUCCUUAAUGUUGAGUUACUAGCUCAAUUUUUCUGCUGAGAUAAUGACUAAAAUAUAAUGAAUCAAUAAUUUCAGGAGAUACAACCACAUCCUACUGUUCAUCUCACUUGUUUGCAAAAUGCUUUUAAAACUAGCUACUCAUUAGCCACAACAGUGAUGAUUUUCAGUAACCUAUGGUGUCAGGUGUAAAGGACAAAUAUAGGUGAGCGUGGCAUACAGAAGUCAGACUGGAAAAUCUGGUUCAUCUGUUAUUCCACAAUAGCUACCAGACAGCUACUGUAUGUUCCCGUAGGGGACAAUGUGUAAACAUCACCGUUAACUUCCAGCAGAUGGUAAGAGGACUCACCCUUGUUAAACAGUUUUCUUGUUAAAUAUAAUACUUCUAGGUUUAGAUAAUAAUUAAAGCAUUUAAGUUUAACUUAGAAAGUGGAAGCGGAGCAGAGGUAUGGAGGUGUGAGUGGGUUAAACAGUGUGAAAAUGGAAAAAGCGUAGUUUGGGUCAGGUCCGGCUCCUGAACUUCAGAUAAUCACAUUAUCUUCAUUUUGUACAAGUAUUGAUUCAUGUGACACAUAAGGAAGCACCACUUGUCAGUAUGGCACUGCCAGAAGUCUAGCAGUGGUACCAGGUGUGACAUGUGAGGUGGUGUUUGACUUCUGCUAUAUGACUGUAAUAGUUUUUUACUGAAUCUGAUCAUCUGUGUUGCACGCCACUGUCACUCUGAUUAGAAUGGCAUUUUGAAACAACAUAAAUACAUCAAAUAUAAAAAUCAAACAGCAACACAAUGUAAUGCAGUACAGCAUAUGUUCUGUUUCUCCUCACAGACUCUAAGCACUGCUGCAAAUUGCAGGGUUCCUGAACAGCAACAAUGCCAUCCAGUGUUCACUGAGAUAAUUGCCAGUUAAAAAGGAAUAGGUUACCACUUCCUGUUUAAAAUGAUAAAGGGCAUAUUACUACUAGAUUAUGUCUCUAUGCAAGUGUCAUUCUCACUGUAAAUUUGACACAAAAUGUUUUAAGAAUGAAAGAAAAGUAUGCAUUGCUAUAGUGUUUUAUUAUUUUUGAGCUCUAAUAAACAGCCCAUGUAGGUCAUUCCUCCUAAUAGGAGAACACUAGUUCACACUCAAAACUAGUUCACACUAGUUCAGCAAAAACAAAAAAGAAAGGAAGAUUUAAUCUUCUACAUACAGGUUCUACGUCUGCUGCAUAAACAAUGACAGUGUUUUUGCUGCUUCCGCUCCAUGAUAUCAAACAACAUGAAAACAGGCUCUUCUCUUAAAAUUUAUCUGGAUUCUGUUGCUUGUCCCUUACUGUUAAAGAUCUACAGUAUGUCUAGUCAUCGUAUGGCAUCAGAAACUAUGACAAUGGAACUUUUUCUUGUGUUAUACCUAUGUGUAACACAAGCAAAUGCAUUACACACUGAGCUGUCAGAAAUAUGCACAGCAACCUCUAUAAGGUCUCAUCUCUCCAAAUAUAUUAAGAGCAGAACAGCAGGGAUCAAGCAUGUCUGCAAACUUGAGAGAAAGUUUCUGGGGUUUAUAUUAGCAGGCCUUGGGAGCACGAAGCCAUGGGAUAGUGAACAGAAGUCAGUUCAGUAACCACUGGACAUCUGACUCCCAGUCAAGUCACCCUCUCUUACUCUGUAAGGUGGGUGCCUGGGACCGAAGAGUAGGGCAGAGGACACAGCAUUUAAAUUUCAAAAAAGAUGGGUUUUUAUUUACCC